GUGCUCACUCCGGCAGCAUACAUACUACAAUUGGAACGAUACAGAGAAGAAUAGCAUGGCCCCUGCACAAGGAUAGCAUGCAAGUUAUAUUGGGAAAAAAUGACUAAU